GUGGCAAGUGGUGACAGACCAUGUUGGAGGGAACAAGAAAGACUAGAAUGAGGGAUCUGGUGGUGUUUGACACCGAGCUUGGGUUGUAUGAUCAUCGACGAGACCAAGGUGGCAAAGGAGCAACCAAAUGAUCAAAGAAGAGACUGACGAGGAAAUCAAAGUGGAAGAGAAAGGAGAGAUUUGCAUGGCAUUCAACAAAUCAGGGGGAGGAAAGAAGACAGGGGAGGUGAUAAUGUGGCAGAGAAUUGGUGUUUUUCAAUAAGGAGAGAGAAGAAGAGAGAAGGUGAUGGAGCAAAAGUUG
rnacentral:lncRNA from 1 species